rnacentral:rRNA from 1 species
UACGUAGGGGGCAAGCGUUGUUCGGAAUUACUGGGCGUAAAGGGCGCGUAGGCGGCACGGCAAGUCGGGAGUGAAAGCCCGGGGCUCAACCCAUAGCCUGCAUCCAAAACUGGAGAGCUUGGGUUCUGGAGGGGAAAGCGGAAUUCCUGGUGUAGCGGUGAAAUGCGUAGAUAUCAGGAGGAACACCGGUGGCGAAGGCGGUUCUCUGGGCAUUACCUGACGCUGAGGAGCGAAAGUGUGGGGAGCGAACAGG